GAUGAACGCUGGCGGCGUGCCUAAUACAUGCAAGUCGAGCGAACAGACGAGGAGCUUGCUCCACUGACGUUAGCGGCGGACGGGUGAGUAACACGUGGAUAACCUACCUAUAAGACUGGGAUAACUUCGGGAAACCGGAGCUAAUACCGGAUAAUAUAUUGAACCGCAUGGUUCAAUAGUGAAAGACGGUUUUGCUGUCACUUAUAGAUGGAUCCGCGCCGCAUUAGCUAGUUGGUAAGGUAACGGCUUACCAAGGCAACGAUGCGUAGCCGACCUGAGAGGGUGAUCGGCCUCACUGGAACUGAGACACGGUCCAGACUCCUACGGGAGGCAGCAGUGGGGAAUUUUCCGCAAUGGGCGAAAGCCUGACGGAGCAACGCCGCGUGAGUGAUGAAGGUCUUCGGAUCGUAAACCUCUGUUAUUAGGGAAGAACAAAUGUGUAAGUAACUAUGCACGUCUUGACGGUACCUAAUCAGAAAGCCACGGCUAACUACGUG
rnacentral:rRNA from 1 species